AUUGAACGCUGGCGGCAGGCCUAACACAUGCAAGUCGAGCGGAUGAAGGGAGCUUGCUCCUGGCUUCAGCGGCGGACGGGUGAGUAAUGCCUAGGAAUCUGCCUGGUAGUGGGGGAUAACGUCCGGACACGGGCGCUAAUACCGCAUACGUCCUGAGGGAGAAAGUGGGGGAUCUUCGGACCUCACGCUAUCAGAUGAGCCUAGGUCGGAUUAGCUAGUUGGUAGGGUAAAGGCCUACCAAGGCGACGAUCCGUAGCCGGUCUGAGAGGAUGAUCGGCCACACUGGGACUGAGACACGGUCCAGACUCCUACGGGAGGCAGCAGUGGGGAAUCUUCCGCAAUGGGCGAAAGCUUGACGGAGCAACGCCGCGUGAGUGAUGAAGGUCUUCGGAUCGUAAAACUCUGUUAUUAGGGAAGAACAAAUGUGUAAGUAACUAUGCACGUCUUGACGGUACCUAAUCAGAAAGCCACGGCUAACUACGUG
rnacentral:rRNA from 1 species